UACCUGUUAUGACUUAUAUUGCUGUUAUUAUUCUUCAUGUCAUCAUUUUAUUACAUGGAUUUUCCGUUAUGGAUUUUACAUCUCAAGUCCUUCACAUUUACACAGUGGAAAUGCACACCUAUUUUGACAAGUGAAAGAAGUUAUUUGGGUUUUUCACUUUUUCACUCUGGAAACUUCACACAUACUGGGGUCUCCGCCAGGAUGUGUUGCGCCACUGAGGGUGAGGCUGGGAAAGUUCCCUUAUAAAAGGUGUUACUCGUGGCCUUCUGUUGGGAGUUACUUACACACUCUCGCUGCCGUUAGACAAGAGUGGCUAGAAUGAGAUGUAGAAUAGUCUUCAUCGACAAGGAUGGCCAGGACAGUUCUCAUGCUGGCGGCGCUCGUGGCUGUCACUGAGCCAUUUGUGCAGCACUCUCGCCCAGCCCUCAUUGCCCCUGUGCCAAGCAACCCGCGGAAGUGACGUCACGUCCCUACGAAGAAAAGGAAAUCCUAUCAGCCAGACACCAUGAGUUGCUUUGCUGCCCAGAGGCGCUCCUGGGAUCCCUGCGUGACGGGUACAAGAUCACGUGGG